AAUGUCUUAGUGACAGAACCUUUAAUUCCAAAGUAACCCCUAAUUCCUUAGUAGAUUUAAGAUUAGAAUUAAGCAUUACCAUAUAGAAAUUCUUUUGUAAAUUAUUGCUUUGCAACUAAUUUAAUUGGUUUCAUGACCUGCACCUAUGUCUAGACUACAAAUUCAUGAAUUUCUCAUCUCAAGCAUUCGUAAAGUCCACUUUCGUUUCAAAAUACAAAUCGUAGAACAUUUUAAUGUUGAUCAAGCAAUAAAAAGCAUUAAGCACAGAGAUGAGAAAAAUAAUUCAAUAAACUCAUUCAUAUAAAUAGAAAUCAAAUCAUAAAAAUAAGGGUUUCAUCUUGUUACACUCAUCCCUAACAAAUAGGGUUUAGUUACUCAUGACAGAGAUAAAAGAGAUAGAGAUUAGAGAGGAAUUACAAGAAAGAUUCAUGAAUGAUUCUUGAUAAAACUGCUCCAAUGAUGUUAGAAACGGCCGUCUUUGAGUUUCUAUGCUAGGGCACAAGUCUCCCCACUUCCCAAUAGUGAAAAAGAUGCUUAAAACAAUAAAAAUAUGCGUUUUAUGGUUGCUGGUACGGGUCGCGCGCCCCAGGCACGCUUGGACGCGCUUCAGCGCGUUUGGACAGUAGCAGAUGCUGGAAAAAGCGCUUUGCUUGCGCUUGGGCGCGCUCGGGCGCUCAACAUCUGCUGUCCGGCGUAUAUUGCAUUUUUCUCGUCUUUCGAGUCUGAAUUUGGUUCCGGUGUUUUCAUGAAAGUUGUAGCUAUGGAUCUUAGAUUUCAUUUGCACUUGGUUUGACCCCAAUUGAACAUCUACAACUCCAUAUAUGGCUGAAAUACUCUACAUAUGUCAUGUUGAUUUCUCACCAAAAUUCAGCACUGCACUAAAACAAAACGCAAUGUAAAAUUACGACAAAUUCCUACUUAAUCAACGAAAUAAAAAAAACAAAACAUUUUAUCAACUCAAAGAACAAAAAUUAACAAAAUAUAUCAAAUAAAUCCUUACUUUAACUAAUGAUUGAGGAUAAAUAAGACUAAAAUAGUGGGAAAAUAUGCAUAUGAUGAAGAGUCAUCACAACGCCAAACUUAAUCUAUUGCUUGUCCCCAAGCAACAAUUAAUUUCAUAUUUGGUCCUAUUAAAUGCACACUUUAAUUCAAUUUCUCAAAUUACAUCAAACUCAAAUUUCAAAGUUCUUGCUACUGCAAAACAUUCAUCAUGCUCUAUGGUUGUUUAAAAAAAUAAAGACAACAAGAUUUGUACACCUUGGCAUUCAUUCAUCAAAAACAACUCUCUCUUCACACAAUCUCACCAAAAUUUCUCUCAAGUGUUUAGAAGGGUUAUAAAUUUAUCACUCAAAUCCUAGAACAUGCAUCACGCUACCAUAGGCUUGAAAAAAUUCUAGUUAGCAAUCACAAUGCAGUAAACACAUACAUGUUUUGAGGACUUUCGGGUUGUAAUGGGGCUUAGGUAAUGGUAGGACAUUUUAGGAUAGUAGGCUUUACCACUUGGAGUUAGGCAUACAUUUCCACCUUAUUCUACCAUUUUUUUUCUUCAUCUUUUCAUUAUGGAGAUUCUUAGACAUUGACAAAAGAACCAAGAAGAUAUUUUUUUUUUUUACCAAAGUACACAUAUUGAAUUUUUUUUCUUCUUCUUUCUUUUUUCAUUUUCUUUUUCUUCUUUUUAUUUUUUUUUUAAUUUUCUUUUUGUGAGAAUCACCACCCCAAACUUAAAAAGUUGCUAUUCCAUGAGCAACCCCAAACUUAGAAUUUUAUCAAGACAAGAAUUUUUUUUUCUACCUAACUCCAAGUAAGGUGAUUUAAUUAAAGUCAGGUGUUUUGCUUGUAAUGUGGCUAGUAACCGAAAUAAAAGGGCAAGGCUCAAAGGGGCUAGCAAAGGGUAAAAUUUUUAUAGGGUAGUUAGAAAGGCUCAAACGACCAAUAAAAUUGCCUCAAUGUAUGCAUAAAUUACAAGUGAUGCAAGUCAGAAUUAGUGCAAGUUCUAGAGGGAUAACACAUGUCUGGAUAAUCACACAACAAAGAAUUUAAGUGUUUAGGCUCAAAAGCUCACAGCUAGGAUAAUAAGAGAGAGUAUGAACAAUCAAAAUAAAGCCAACAUGCUUCUGAAAAGUUAAAAUUGUAUUUUUGAAAAAUUGAUGGCAUAUUAGCCUUCUACAACCAUUUAGUAAUCAAGAAUGCAUGCAUUAGGAAGACUUGUCGACUUGAGCAAUAACAUAAUCUAAGAAAUGAAAAGUGCAAGUCAGUACGACUGUUUCAUCAUAGUACACAUUUAGUGAAAGGAAAAAAAACAUGAGGAGAAGAAAGUCAACAUAUACUGACAUUAAACAAAGAAAACGAGAAAACGGAAAGCAACAGGACAACCAACAAAAAGAAAAAGAAAAAAAGAAAGAAAACUUCUCUUAGUUUAGUAGUUCAAUGUUAAAUAAUAAAAUAGAAUAUAAUUUUGUUGAUAUAUUAACUUGUAAGUCUGUGUAAAGAUAUGUCUAAUUACUUAUUCAAAUAUGUUUAAAUUAAAUAGGUUUUUAAGUAUGAUAACAAGUCAUAUCAUAUUUUCAUUAAGGUUAGUCUUAAUACCAAAAAGUAAGUUUGCAACAUAAAACAUCUGAGAUUUAGGUCUUGAAUGUUUUUGAAAGACUAGACUCGAACAUUGCAACGCUUAGCUCGACUUAGCCUAUUCUCAACCUCAAUGCAUAGAUAUAUGGUAUUGGUACACAUAUGUUGUAGUUUAAAAACAAAAUUAAUGUUAGUCGUUAGUCAUUAAUCGUUAGUUUUUAGUUAGAGAAACCUACGAACCUCUUUAUCACUUCAAUUCUUACGCUCAUCUCUCAAACCACCAAAUCACUUUAUGACUCCCUAUAUCAUGUAAAUAAGAGAGUUAAAUUAUUUAAUUAAUAAUACAAUAUCACAAUAAAAUUUAAUUUUUUUAUUACACCAAUUAAUAAACUAAAAUACUAUUAUAUAUUAAUAUAUAAGAAAAUCAUCAAUUUCAUUCGCAACUCAAUAAUGAGAGGAAAAAAAAAGCAAAAACUUGAUAGCGUUUCAGCAAGUGUAUUGAAUCGUUGCAAGUAAUAAUAAAACGGUAGUACCGAGUGUCGAACUCAAGGAUUGCGUUUUACUAUUGAAUUAAAUUUAAUUACUAAAAUUGAACAAAAAGUUUCCGAAUUGAUUGAAAUAAUAUUUGAAAUUGACAACAAUAAUAAAAUUGAUCCUUUAUAAUGAGAAAAAUGUCAGAAAUGAGUUUCACUUCGAAUCCAACCUUGGUGUCUAAUUUGAUCCGAGUUACUGAAUUCCUUUAUUGAAUUAUUACCGAAUUCUCUUUAUUAUUCUUGCCCUAAUGUCUUAGUGAUAGAACCUUUAAUUCCAAAGUAACCCCUAAUUCCUUAGUAGAUUUAAGAUUAGAAUUAAGCAUUACCGUAUAGAAGUUCUUUUGUAAAUUAUUGCUUUGCAACUAAUUUAAUUGGUUUCAUGACCUGCACCUAUGUCUAGACUACAAAUUCAUGAGUUUCUCAUCUCAAGCAUUCGUAAAGUCCACUUCCGUUUCAAAAUACAAAUCGUAGAACAUUUUAAUGUUGAUCAAGCAAUAAAAAGCAUUAAGCACAGAGAUGAGAAAAAUAAUUCAAUAAACUCAUUCAUAUAAAUAGAAAUCAAAUCAUAAAAAUAAGGGUUUCAUCUUGUUACACUCAUCCCUAACAAAUAGGGUUUAGUUACUCAUGACAGAGAUAAAAGAGAUAGAGAUUAGAG
rnacentral:lncRNA from 1 species